AGCAGCCGCGGUAAUUCCAGCUCCAAUAGCGUAUAUUAAAGUUGUUGCAGUUAAAAAGCUCGUAGUUGAAUUUUGGGUCUGGCCGGGCGGUCCGCCCUCUGGGUGAGCACUGUUCCGACGCCGGGCCUAUCCUUCUGGUGAGUCGGCAUGUCCUUUGUUGGGUGUGUCGGGGAACCAGGACCAUUACCUUGAAAAAAUUAGAGUGUUCAAAGCAGGCGUAUGCUCGGAUACAUUAGCAUGGAAUAAUGAAAUAGGACGCGUGGUGCUAUUUUGUUGGUUUCUAGAACCGCCGUAAUGAUUAAUAGGGAUAGUUGGGGGCAUUAGUAUUCAAUUGUCAGAGGUGAAAUUCUUGGAUUUAUUGAAGACUAACUUCUGCGAAAGCAUUUGCCAAGGAUGUUUUCAUUAAUCAAGAACGAAAGUUAGGGGAUCGAAGACGAUCAGAUACCGUCGUAGUCUUAACCAUAAACUAUGCCGACUAGGAAUCGGGCGAUGUUAUUCUCAUGACUCGCCCGGCGCC
rnacentral:rRNA from 1 species